UCUGUUCCAUAUUCCCCAAGGACUGACUCUUAAUGUGGAAGGAAAAUUCCUAAGGGAAGCACCUAAGGAUAUUGUGGAAUUUUGUCCAGCUACAGUUUAGAAACAGGGAACAGAAUCUUGCUUUUUUUUUUUUAGUUGAACACUGAUUCUUCUCUCAUACAAUACAUUCCAACCAGAGUUCCCCCUCCUUCCAUUCCUCCCAGCUCCACCCCCCCCCCCCCCCACACACACAGCUUCCCUCUCCCUGGGAUCCACUCCCCCUCUGUCUCCCAUCAACAAAGGCCUCCAAGAGACAACAGGCAAACAGGACAAGGCAAAGACAGUAAGACAAGGCAGACUGCAGUAAGACAAGACAAGGCAGACUACAGUAAGACAAGACAAGGCAGACUACAGUAAGACAGGGCAGACUACAGUAAGACAGGACAGACUACAGUAAGACAAGGCAGACUACAGUAAGACAAGACAAGGCAGACUACAGUAAGACAAGACAAGGCAGACUACAGUAAGACAAGGCAGACUACAGUAAGACAGGGCAGACUACAGUACGACAGGGCAGACUACAGUAAGACAGGACAGACUACAGCAAGACAAGGCAGACUACAGUAAGACAAGGCAAACUACAAACUACAGUUAGACAAGGCAGACUACAGUAAGAAGGCAGACUACAGUAAGACAAGGCAAACUACAAACUAUAGUAAGACAAGGCAGACUACAGUUAGACAAGACAGACUACAGUAAGACAAGGCAGACUAUAGUAAGACAAGGCAGAAGCCCUCACAAUGAGUCUGGACAAGGCAGCCCAGUAGGAGGAAAAGAGUACUAAGAGCAGGCAAAAGAGUCAGAGACACUCCUGCUACCACAGUUAGGAGUCCCACAAAACCACCAAGCUAACAGCCACAAGGUAUACCCAGAGGACCUGGUGCAGUGGCCCCACAGGGCCCAUGCUUGCCACGUCAAUCUCUCUGAGCCCAUAUGCUCCUUGCUUAGUUGAGAAUCCUGCUUUUUGAGCCAGUGAUCCGGGGGGCUGCUGUGCUUAGCUGUGUGUGAGCAGUCCAGAGGAGCUGGUGUGGGUACCAGGAGUGGGUAGAUGAGAUGUAUCCUAGGGACCAGGACCUUCUGCUGGUUGGCUUUUGGUACCCGUGUUGGGAAGAGGGUUCUGAUGAGCUCUUGGAAAGAUGGAGGGAAUGGGCAAGUUUCAGGUUUAUGCUGGGACAUUUCCUUUUUUUUUUUAAUUUUUUUUAUUAGGUAUUUUCCUCGUUUACAUUUUCAAUGCUAUCCCAAAGGUCCCCCAUAUCCACCCCCCCAA
rnacentral:lncRNA from 1 species